rnacentral:rRNA from 1 species
AUACGUAGGUGGCAAGCGUUGUCCGGAUUUAUUGGGCGUAAAGCGAGCGCAGGCGGUUUUUUAAGUCUGAUGUGAAAGCCUCGGCUUAACCGAGAAGCGCAUCGGAAACUGGGAAACUUGAGUGCAGAAGAGGACAGUGGAACUCCAUGUGUAGCGGUGAAAUGCGUAGAUAUAUGGAAGAACACCAGUGGCGAAGGCGGCUCUCUGGUCUGUAACUGACGCUGAGGCUCGAAAGUAUGGGUAGC